AUGCAAGUCGAACGAAGUAGCAAUACUUAGUGGCAGACGGGUGAGUAACAUGUAGGUAUCUACCCUUUGGCCUGGAAUAACACGAGGAAACUUGUGCUAAUACCGGAUAAGUCUUUACGGAGAAAGCUUUAUGCACCAUUGGAUGAGCCUGCACUUGAUUAGUUUGUUGGUGGGGUAAUGGCCUACCAAGACUGUGAUCAAUAGCUGAUUUGAGAGGAUGAUCAGCCACAUUGGGACUGAGACACGGCCCAAACUCCUACGGGAGGCAGCAGUGGGGAAUCUUGCACAAUGAAGGAAACUCUGAUGCAGCGAUGCCGCGUGAGUGAAGAAGGCCCUUGGGUUGUAAAGCUCUUUCGUCGGGGAAGAAAAUGACUGUACCCGAAUAAGAAGGUCCGGCUAACUUCGUGCCAGCAGCCGCGGUAAUACGAAGGGACCUAGCGUAGUUCGGAAUUACUGGGCUUAAAGAGUUCGUAGGUGGUUGAAAAAGUUAGUGGUGAAAUCCCAGAGCUUAGCUCUGGAACUGCCAUUAAAACUUUUCAGCUAGAGUAUGAUAGAGGAAAGCAGAAUUUCUAGUGUAGAGGUGAAAUUCGUAGAUAUUAGAAAGAAUACCAAUUGCGAAGGCAGCUUUCUGGAUCAUUACUGACACUGAGGAACGAAAGCAUGGGUAGCGAAGAGGAUUAGAUACCCUCGUAGUCCAUGCCGUAAACGAUGUGUGUUAGACGUUGGAAAUUUAUUUUCAGUGUCGCAGCGAAAGCGAUAAACACACCGCCUGGGGAGUACGACCGCAAGGUUAAAACUCAAAUGAA
rnacentral:rRNA from 1 species